rnacentral:lncRNA from 1 species
AUGUGUAGAUAUGGCACCCAUCACCAACAUUAUAAAAGGAAAUGGACCUCAUACCUACAUCCAGAUUCCUUACAAAUGGCCACAUCCCAUAUUUUGCUGCUGCCCACAUCCACCUCCCCGUCAGUAAUGGUGGCCGGAAGUGAAGCGAGAGCCCCCAGGAUGCACAGCGCGGAGCUGAACCUUCCCGCCUGCUCUUUCCUGUUCUGUCUGAAAUCCCCACGUCGGACGCUCCUCGGGUCUUCAGAAAUGGUAAGAUCAUUGCUGGCUGUGUCCACAUCCGAGGUCGUAUCCACCUGAAACUUCUUCAUCCUUGGCUAGAAUGGAUUUCCGCUUGGGCUCUGGUUCCUUGAUGAUGGAAAUCCGUGCCCUCAGCUUGUACUUGCGCUUGAUGUCAUUCUUGUGAGAGGCCGCAGAGCAUAGAGGGGAUAGUACACCUGCCCCAUGGAGCUUCCUCCGCAGUGAACGGACGCACUGCGGGCAGCAGGCACAUCCACAUUUCAAUUGCCCCGGUUCUUCGAGAUCAUGUAGACAAACAGGACAUCUAAUUACUUGUUUGACGUGUUCAGCCAUGGCAAAUGUCUUCCCGAGUUUCCUCCCCUGGCCUCCAGCUGCUUCUGCUGACAGCUCAGAUUUAUUUAUUUAUUUAUUUAUUUAUUUAUUUAUUUAUUUAUUUAUUUAUUUAUUUUGAGAUGGAAUUUCGCUCUUGUUGCCCAGGUCGGAGUGCAAGGGUGCGAUCUCAGCUCACUGUAACCUCCACUUCCCGGGUUCAAGCAAUCCUCCUGCCUCAGCCUCCCAAGUAGCUGGGAUUACAGGAGCACACCACCAUGCCAGGCUAAUUUUUUUUUUUUUUGAGAUGGGGUUUCGCUCUUGUUACCCAGGCUGGAGUGCAAUGGCACGAUCUCGGCUCACCGCAACCUCCGCCUCCUGGGUUCAGGCAAUUUUCCUGCCUCAGCCUCAUGAGUAGCUGGGAUUACAGGCAUGCACCACCGUGCCCAGCUAAUUUUUUGUAUUUUUAGUAGAGACGGGGUUUCACCAUGUUGACCAGGAUGGUCUCGAUCUCUUGACCUCGUGAUCCACCCGCCUUGGCCUCCCAAAGUACUGGGAUUACAGGCUUGAGCUACCGCACCCAGCCUGUUUUUCUGUUUUUUGUUUUUUUUUUUUUUAUAGUAGAGAUGAGUUUUACCAUGUUGAUCAGGCUGCUCUCGAACUCCCAAUCUCAAGGUGAUCCGCUCACCUUGGCCUCUCAAAGUGCUAGGAUUAUAGGCUCGAACCACCGUGCCUGACCUAUUUAUUUAUUUAUUUAAUUGAUUUUAACUUUUAUUUUGGACUCAGGGGUAUAUGUGCAGGUUUGUUACAUGUGUAUAUUACAUAACACUGAGGUUUGGGGUGUGAAUGAUCCUCACCUAGGUAAUGAGCAUAGUGACCAAUAGGUAGUAUGUCAACCCUUGUCCCCCUUCCUCCUUCCCGCCCGCACUGCCUGUCGUUCUUAUCAUUAUAUCCAUGAGUACCCAAUGCUUAACUCCCACUUGUGAGAACAUGCUAACACAUGUGGUUUUCUGUUUCUGCCUUAAUUCACCCAAGAUAAUGACCUCUAGCUACAUGCAUGUUGCUGCAAAGGAUGUGAUUUUUUUUUGUGCCUAUGUAUUAUUCUAGACUGUGUAUAUACCACAUUUUAAAAAAUCCAAUCUGCUGUUGAUGGACACCUAGAUUGAUUCCCUGUCUUUGCUACUGAGAAUAGUACUAUGAUGAACAUGUGGGUGCAUGUACCUUUACAGAAUGAUUUAUUUGCCUUUGGAUAUGUACUCGGUAAUGAGGAUUGCUAGGUUGAAAGGUAAUUUUGUUUUAAGGAGAUCACCAAACUGCUUUCCAUGGUGGCUGAACUAAUUUACAUUCACACCAACAGUAUUCUUGGCAGCCUCACCGGCAUCUGUGGCUUUUUUACUUUUUUUUGUGUGUGUGUUGUGAGAGACAGUCUUGUUUUGUUACCCAGGCUGGAGUGCAGUGGUGCGAUCUUGGCUCACCGCAACCUCCACCACCCAGGUUCAAGCGAUUCUCCUGCCUCAGCCUCCUGAGUAGCUGGGAUUACAGGCACACGCCACCACACCUGGGUAAUUUUUGUAGUUUUAGUAGAGAUGGGGUUCCACCACGUUGACCAGGCUGCUCUCCUUAGGUGAUCCACACUCCUCGGCCUCCCAAAGUGCUGGGAUUACAGGCGUGAGGCAAUGAGCCCGGCCUUUUUAAUAACAGCCAUUCUGAUUGGUGUGAGAUGGUAGGUAUCUCAUGGUUUGAUUUGCGUUUCUCUAAUGAUCAAUGUUAUUGAGCAUUUUCCCAUGUUUGUUGUCUGCUGUAUGACUUCUUUUGAAAAGUAUCUGUUCAUGUCCUUUGCCCACUUUAAAAAUUUUGUUUAAUUAAUUAAUUUAUUUAUUUUUGAGACAGUCUCAUUCUGUCACCCAGGCUGGAAUACAGUGGUGCUAUCUGGGCUCACUGUAGCCUCUGAGUUCAGUGAUUCUCCUGCCUCUACCUCCUAAGUAGCCGGGAUGAUAAGCGUGUGCCACCAUGCCUGGCUAAAUUCUGUAUUUUUAGUAGGGGAGGUUUCACCAUGUUGGCCAGGCUGGUUUGAACUCCUGACCUCAAGUGAUCUGCCUGCCUCAGCCUCCCCCAAGUGUUGGAUUUACAGGCGUGAGCCACUGUGCCCAGCCUGCCCACUUUUUAAUGGGGUCAUUCUUUGGUUGUUGAAUUGUUUAAAUUUCUUAUACAUUCUGAAUAGACCUUUAUCAGAUACACAGUCUGUGAAUAUUUCUAAAUUUUUCCCCAAACAUUAGAUCUUCUUCAAUACAUGUUGUAUCUGAUGUGUCCAUAUUGGAAAUAAGAUUUUAAAAAUAAGAACAUAGGAUAAGUUAAAAUAAAUAAUAUAAUGGUAACUCAUGGCAUCUAGUAAGUCACACACAUACACAUACCAUCCCCAAAAGCUCAAAGCCUGUCAAGAUACAAUUCACACCAGUGUUGGCUUCUUCCUUAUGUGUCUUAUCCCUGCCUACCCAAAAGCCUGUCUCCUCCUCACAGCCCUGUCUUAUAGAGUAGAAAGGACAGAAUAGCUGUGACCGGGGCUUACUCAUCUGUACAGUCACUAGAUGGUAAUAGUUAUAAUAAUUAACAUGUGUAAAGGGCUUUGCAUCAUAUAAGCCACCACUGCACAUAUGAUUUUAAUUUAAUUUUAAUCUUUAUAGAAAUUUCUCUCCUCCUCCUCCUCCUCCUCCUCCUCACCUCAGACGGGGGUAUAAAGGCUUAGGAAUGAAGUCACUUGCUGAGAUCUCUCACUGUGCUUUUUCCUCAAGUAUAUAAGCAUUCCUGAUCCUCUUGAGACAACCUUUCUCUCUUCUUUCACACCCAAGCUUUUUAGAGUAGUUUGCACAAGCUGCCUUCCUCUCUUUGCAGUCAUGUUGCUAAUUUUUCCCUGUCUAACGAAAGUGGUAACACUGCAUCAGGUCACAUUCUGAAAGAUUGCACUCAUCCACCUACUGCAGUUUGGAUCAUACAUAGGUAUUAAACACAACUUGAGGCGUGUCCUUGACUACUGAGGAAAGUAGGCAAACCCUGGGCAGGCACUCAGACUUGGG